rnacentral:rRNA from 1 species
AACGAACGCUGGCGGCAUGCCUAACACAUGCAAGUCGAACGAGAUCUUCGGGUCUAGUGGCGCACGGGUGCGUAACGCGUGGGAAUCUGCCCUUUGGUUCGGAAUAACAGUUGGAAACGACUGCUAAUACCGGAUGAUGACGAAAGUCCAAAGAUUUAUCGCCAGAGGAUGAGCCCGCGUAGGAUUAGCUAGUUGGUGUGGUAAAGGCGCACCAAGGCGACGAUCCUUAGCUGGUCGGAGAGGAUGAUCAGCCACACUGGGACUGAGACACGGCCCAGACCCCUACGGGAGGCAGCAGUGGGGAAUAUUGGACAAUGGGCGAAAGCCUGAUCCAGCAAUGCCGCGUGAGUGAUGAAGGCCCUAGGGUUGUAAAGCUCUUUUACCCGGGAUGAUAAUGACAGUACCGGGAGAAUAAGCCCCGGCUAACUCCUUGCCAGCCGCCGCCGUAA